GCUCAGGAUGAACGCUAGCUACAGGCUUAACACAUGCAAGUCGAGGGGCAGCAUGGUCUUAGCUUGCUAAGGCUGAUGGCGACCGGCGCACGGGUGAGUAACACGUAUCCAACCUUCCCAUUACUCGGGGAUAGCCUUUCGAAAGAAAGAUUAAUACCCGAUAGUACUUAAUUAUGGCAUCAUGAUUAAGUUAAAGAUUUAUUGGUAAUGGAUGGGGAUGCGUUCCAUUAGAUUGUUGGUGAGGUAACGGCUCACCAAGUCUUCGAUGGAUAGGGGUUCUGAGAGGAAGGUCCCCCACAUUGGUACUGAGACACGGACCAAACUCCUACGGGAGGCAGCAGUGAGGAAUAUUGGUCAAUGGGCGAGAGCCUGAACCAGCCAAGUAGCGUGA
rnacentral:rRNA from 1 species